rnacentral:rRNA from 1 species
GGUUUACCGCCUUGGGAUAGGCUUGCGUCUGAUUAGCUAGUUGGUGUGGUAACGGCACACCAAGGCUACGAUCAGUAACUGGUCUGAGAGGAUGAUCAGUCACACUGGAACUGAGACACGGUCCAGACUCCUACGGGAGGCAGCAGUGAGGAAUAUUGGGCAAUGCUCGAAAGAGUGACCCAGCAACGCCGCGUGGAGGAUGAAGGUAUUCUAUAUCGUAAACUCCUGUGAGAGCAGACGAAAGACAGAUUAUUAAUCUGGAUGACUGUAUGCUCAGAGGAAGCCCCGGCUAACUACGUG